AUUGAACGCUGGCGGCAGGCCUAACACAUGCAAGUCGAGCGGUAGAGAGAAGCUUGCUUCUCUUGAGAGCGGCGGACGGGUGAGUAAUGCCUAAGAAUCUGCCUGGUAGUGGGGGAUAACGUUCGGAAACGGACGCUAAUACCGCAUACGUCCUACGGGAGAAAGCAGGGGACCUUCGGGCCUUGCGCUAUCAGAUGAGCCUAGGUCGGAUUAGCUAGUUGGUGGGGUAAUGGCUCACCAAGGCGACGAUCCGUAACUGGUCUGAGAGGAUGAUCAGUCACACUGGAACUGAGACACGGUCCAGACUCCUACGGCAGGCAGCAGUGGGGAAUAUUGGACAAUGGGCGAAAGCCUGAUCCAGCCAUGCCGCGUGUGUGAAGAAGGUCUUCGGAUUGCAAAGCACUUUAAGUUGGGAGGAAGGGCAGUAAAUUAAUACUUUGCUGUUUUGACGUUACCGACAGAAUAAGCACCGGCUAACUCUGUGCCAGCAGCCGCGGUAA
rnacentral:rRNA from 1 species